UGGUUUCAUAUCGAAAGACCAACUUAAUAUAUAGGCCCCUUAGUUUUAAAUUAGAAGACUAACCCAAUAUGGAGGCCCAGCAAUAGAAGCCGUUAAUCCUUUUCCAUAGGAACCUUAGCUUUACACUCAAUCAAAAAGCCAACGCCACCUCAUUGAGAAAGCUGGAGAACUAGGGCACCUAUCGGUGACCAAAAGAGAAAGGAAUUUCUACCACACCCAUGCAAAGCUAGAAAGCCACACAAGGCCAAGAAGAAACCCCAAAGUCCCAACAAAAAGUCAUCAUCUCUAGAGGGAGCCACAGAAAAUCUAUCACCUUCAACUUGGAAAAGAAGAAAAUAGAGGCCAUGGUCUCUCUAGCCAUGAAGCA
rnacentral:misc_RNA from 1 species